AAAUAUUUAGAUCCCACUCUCUAUUAUUUGUUAGCAGCGGCUGAAUCGUCCAACCAGAUAAAUCAAUAGUUGGAUUAAUGUAAGUAGGCCAUAAUAGAAGAGGAAUAGAAGAGAGCCAGUGAUCCUGUAGAACAUUAAUAGUCAAACUAUUAUCAAUCAUCCACCACAAAUGAUGCAGCAUGAGGUAUCCAUGUUGACAUGUGCCCCACCAUAUUGGCAAGCAUCUGUUAGGCUUUUUAUAAUGAAACCAUGUAUCAUGAAAUUCAUACUUAGCAGUAGACAACCUCGCCUAAAGGGAUGUAGGAUGAAGGACAAUGUGGGCAGCCAAUUUGCACAAGAGAGCCUUGCAUCUAAUAUUCAAGGGCACAAUAGACUAUAGACCAGGCUAUAGGAUGAAGCCCUCUAUGAUUAGAGCCGUGUCCCCAUAAAAAAGAUCGAAACUCUUUCUCCAGUAUUUAAAGAAUAGACAAAGGCAUCGGUAUAGAAGACAUACAAUAUAAGGAAUAGAUGCAAGUAUCGAUUACAGAAGGAUUGCCCACCCGACGAGAGACAAGGCCUUCCACUUCUAAGAUCCAAUCUUAGCCAACACCUUUUCUAUCAGAAAAGUGAUAUCCGAAUGCACCAAAGGCAUACCUAAGAUUGGUACACCUAAAUGUUGCCACACACCCCUGUAUCGAUGCAUGUGAAACAUCCUUAAAAUCUGAUUCUGAGUUGCAGUAGCUAUACAUAGACUAAAAACGAUAUGUGACUUAUGCGUGCUCACCGCCUGUCCAAAUAAAGAACAAUAGAUAGAGAUAAUAGAGAGUAAACAUAUACUGACCCGAAGG
rnacentral:lncRNA from 1 species